UACGUAGGUGGCAAGCGUUGUCCGGAAUUACUGGGUGUAAAGGGCGAGUAGGCGGAUGCACAAGUCAGAUGUGAAAUACCAAGGCUCAACCUUGGGGCUGCAUUUGAAACUGUGCGUCUUGAGUGAUGGAGAGGCAGGCGGAAUUCCCGGUGUAGCGGUAAAAUGCAUAGAGAUCGGGAGGAACACCAGUGGCGAAGGCGGCCUGCUGGACAUUAACUGACGCUGAGGCGCGAAAGUGUGGGGAGCAAACAGGAUUAGAUACCCUGGUAGUCCACACUGUAUACGAUGGAUACUAGGUGUGGGGGGUCUGACCCCUUCCGUGCCGGAGUUAACACAAUAAGUAUCCCACCUGGGGAGUACGAUCGCAAGAUUGAA
rnacentral:rRNA from 1 species